rnacentral:rRNA from 1 species
AGUGAACGCUGGCGGUAGGCCUAACACAUGCAAGUCGAACGGCAGCACAGGAGAGCUUGCUCUCUGGGUGGCGAGUGGCGGACGGGUGAGGAAUACAUCGGAAUCUACUUUUUCGUGGGGGAUAACGUAGGGAAACUUACGCUAAUACCGCAUACGACCUACGGGUGAAAGCAGGGGAUCUUCGGACCUUGCGCGAUUGAAUGAGCCGAUGUCGGAUUAGCUAGUUGGCGGGGUAAAGGCCCACCAAGGCGACGAUCCGUAGCUGGUCUGAGAGGAUGAUCAGCCACACUGGAACGGAGAUACGGUGCAGACUCCUACGGGGGGCAGCAGUGGGGAAUAUUGUCCAAUGGGCGCAAGCCUUAUUCAGCCAUACCGCGUGGGUGAAGAAGGCCUUCGGGUUGUAAAGCCCUUUUGUUGGGAAAGAAAUCCAGCUGGCUAAUACCCGGUUGGGAUGACGGUACCCAAAGAAUAAGCACCGGCUAACUUCGUGCCAGCAGCCGCCGUAA